AUGCUCAUUUUUCUUGGGCUGGCUUUAAGACUUAUAAAUGAUUCAGAUAUGCUCUUGAGAAGCAAAUUCCCUUUUUAGUUGAGUAUCUCAAUAAUAGAUCGGAUGUAUAAACUCAAGAUGGUUUACGUUUUGUGCUAAUAUCUUCUGCCAUUUUUAAUGCAGGCAUCUAUGUGGGAUGUCUGCCACAUGUAUUACCUCAAAUCAGUUGGUGUCCAUAUGGUGAAGACUAAGUGAACCAUGUUACGGUGCUGAAAGAGACAGAUAAUAAGCCAAGUGUUUUUAAAAGUCUGACUUGACUGGCAUGCCUAUUAAAAGGUAUGCACCUAACUGUACAGAUAGAGCAACUCUUUCGCUUUAAAGUGGUUAAAAAAAUACUCUGAUUUCAGCCAUGCUACUGCAGGUGAGGCUUGUCGCCAACUCUUACUGUAUUUACAGUUUAUUUUAAAAAAAUAAUAGGAAUUUUAUUGUAUGAAAUCCUAAGUUAUAUUGGGAGGGAGAAUUGGACUGAGUGUAAUCACAUUCAGUAAAGCCAACUAAUGAAAAGCAAAUAUGGCUAACAUGCAGUUCUGGGAUAGGCAGAAGAAAAGAUACAGUAACCAUGUUUUAUUAAACACAUGAACACAUUAAGGUUUACUAUAGAAUUUCUGUAGAGAAAAGCAAAGGCCUAAUAUAUGUGUCUAUAUGAACUAUAUAGCUUAUGAUAUAUGCUCUUUGAUGCUAUAAUUUUAAGGAUGUUAUUUCCUUUCACCUCAGCAUAAGAAAAGCCUCUACUCACCAAUGGUCUAAGUUUAUAACUCUUGGAGAAAUAACUGGUUAGUGUUCUUUCAAUUAGAUAGAUAUGCUUAUAUACAGACUUUUUUUUUUUCUUUUUUGGAAACCUUGGAUCCAUGAACCUUGGUUUCCGUGGUGUCUCUGUUGUGUUACUUACCAUUCAGUAAUUCCUCAUGCAAAUCUGUUUGGGUAAGUAAGACAAAUAAGGUGUUUAUCAAAAGCGUAUCACUCUUACAAGGCUUCACAUUUCAUGUUUCUUGUGAAGAAACUACUACAAAGAAAAAGGCAAGUUUUUUUUUUUUUUUUUUUUUUUUCCCCAAUUACUUUUAAAAUGUCUAUCAUUUGUUUUCUGGGUCCAGGCUGCAAACUGCCACAGGACUUUCCAUAGUCUGCCUUUGGGAAACAAUGGAUAUGUUAAUGUCUGAAGUAAUUCAGGACUAAUUGACCCCAAUACACGAGCCAAAUGAUGGAUCUAUUUUAGAUACUGAAGAGGAGAAUAUUCUGUAUUCUUCUACAUCCUAAAAAAAAAGUUAUAUGUUGGUCAUUUUGCAGUCUGCAGAUCCCUAAUGCCUUUGUAUAGAAUUUUCUGUGAUCAAUAGAACUACAUCUCUAACUUGAGGCUUUUCUGUAUGAUAUGAAUAGCAUAAGCUUGGAUAUGUCAAAUUUUUCAUAAUUUUUGCUAGCUCACCUUCGGUUUAUUUAGCCUAGACUUCUGCUAAAAGAGAUGGCUAAUCUCUGAAGAAAUAAGAUGGUUAGUAGAUGAAAGCUGAGGAGUGAAGUCUCAGGUUGGUGUUCUCUCACUGUGUCCAGAGAGUAAUGAAAUUAGCCCUCUUACCUGCUCUGUAGAGAAUGUGGCCAUCAGAAAUUCCAGAGAACUAUCCCUUCCCAGACAUUUCCUUGAAACUCUUACAACAUUAAAUCUCCAUUAAAAUUGUGGAGAGAUAUUAUACUCAAUUCAUUGUUCAGAGUAGUGCCGCUCUUAAUCUGCUGUGCAGAAGCUUUAAAAAAACCUUAAAAAUAUCACAGCUAGAUUGUGCUUCUUGUUUUAGCUCUGUGUUUAGCUAACACCCACUGAGAUGGCUGCAGCUCUGCUUCUUCCUCUGCUUGUCUCCUUCUAGAGCAGCUAUCAAAAUGCCAGCAAGGGGAGCCAAGAGCAUUCCGUAAAUGAACACUUGGAGAGAAGUUCUGAAGGGUCAAAGUAGAGGACAGGAAUUUAUUACGUUAAUAGAUCUGAAUAUGCAUCUGUAACGUUAAUCUGAAUUUCAGUUUGGGAGCAAAUGUGUUCAGUUUGAAUCAUGUCAUUUGAUAUAGGGGAAGUGCAUUUUCCCUAAAACUGAUCCUUAGUUUUCUCAUAAAAUCUCCCAUACUAAAUACUGAAAAGAAGCAUGUGUAACAGCUGAUGGCUUUGCUUAAAGCUCAUGCACUCCUCCAUUCCUCAAAAUAGGAUGCGUCUGUUUAUUGUGAGAAUUCAAAUAAUGAAACUCAUCAGAUUUGGAAAUAUAAACUGCUCAUUCAAAUAGAGGGGAAAAAAAUUCUUACCUACCUAUCCUUUUUCUAUGAUAGAUAAAGUAUCCAUUCAUAUUGUCCUGCUUCUAUAUUGUGUUUCUACAACGUGCCUGGUUUGCACCUCGCUGUGUGUUAGCUACAAACUGUUUCUUCAUAAACCACUUUUAUUUCAGCCAGGUGCACUGAAGCUUCCUUUUUUUGGGGGGUGGGGGGAGAAUAUAUAUACAUAUAUAUAUAUUUACACACACAUGCAUCUGUAUAUGUGUGUGUGUAAAUUUCUGUUAUGUAGCUAAAAAAUAGCAGAGGGAUCAGGCUUUUCAAGUAUGUUGCUGCAGAAGGCCUGAUAUUUCACUGGUGCUAAUGUUUCUUUAGGUGAAGCUGCCAAGCUUUUAAAGCCAAACCCUGAGCUGACCAUCACAGAGAAAAGAAAAGGGGGAAGAAAGAAAGGAGGGGGUGGGAAAGGGGGGGGCAAAUGCACAGCUACAGUGAUUCUGGUAGCCAUUGAGACCUAGGAAAGCCCAUACCUGAGAGUGAUUUAUGGUUUAAGAACAAGAAAAGCCCAUGUUUUCUGUCUCCAGAAGAUUCUUUAUGAAGUACGCUUAAUUUAAAUAGAUCAUAUAUUAAAAUAUCCCAGAGUUUAUCUCUAUACAUUCAUUCUGGGACUGCAGAGCCAAACUGUGUUAUCUCCUGCAGCAGCAUUACUGAAAUUACUGAAUGUUCUAAUUGUCAACUGAUGCCCUCCAAUGGGAUAAAAAGAUACAGCUCAGUGAGGCGUGUAACGAUUACAGCAACAAAUCACAAGGGGAGACUUGGGGCAUUGGCUGUCUCAGUUCCACAGGGUUAAUGAUGGAGGCUAGAAAUAAAAUGUAUUUUAAACACAGGAUAAACAGUUGCAAGUCCCUGAAACUAACAGGGAGCAGAUUUACUGGGUAUAGUGCUGUUACUAUUUGUUAAUGCUAUAAUUACAGCUCCACAAUUUAAGUAUUUUUUUAUGUCUAUCUAGAUAAAUCUUUCUGUUGUUUUUUAUUUUGGUUUGGAAGUUAAGGAGGUUCUUUUCUUCCAUGUUUGCUGGCGGGUACUAACAACGGGGAUUUGUUCCUGCUGUUGUUUUGGGAUGUGGAUUAUACUUGGGGAUAUUUUUCAGAUGAAGCAGAUCAAAAGGGACAGCAACACAUGCCAGCACAGAUGAGGACGGGGACGUUCUGCAGCAAGAAGCCACAAAGUCCAUAAAACAACGUGCUUCAGAUCAGACUUCUCCAAAUGCCCUUCAUCACAGCAGCGCUGAGUGUUCUAGCUGGCAGCUCGCCUUGAGCUGCCUCUGAAGUCCAAGAGCUGGGCAGGGUCCUUGCAAUUGGGGCAGUUGGGUACAUCAGUACCCAAUCAAUGUGCCCAAUCAGUACCCGUCAAUAGCAAAACCUAAAGCUACCUCUGAACUUCAGUGAACGUUACUGAGGUGUCAUAAAACGGAGGACACAAGUUAGUUAUCUUUGGAAUAGAGGUCUCCACCUGAUUUCCAUUUGUAGAUCUUUUUGGGCAGGGACAAGGAAGUACUACAAUCAUUCGUUAAUUUUUCUCAGCAUGUUCAUUUUUGUUUGCAGUGGACCUGUUGUAAUAUCGAUCUGUAUUCUUUAUCAGUGCAAGUGAAAGCCAGAACACUCCUGAAUAGCUUUGUUUUGAACUGUUUUCCAGUUCUGCUUUUGUAAUUUGUCAUCCGAAUUAUUCCAUCCAGCAAACACACGGCUAAAUGAGACAUAGCUGUGUACCAGAGAUGGUGGCUAAGGAAAAAAAUACCGGAUGCAGUCAGCAUGGGUUAUAAUAAUGUAUUUGGUUAUACAUGAUUAUAACCGCGUGAUUUAAAUAUAUAUAUAUCAAAAGAAUCAGAGGCAGUAAAGACAAAAGCACCUCAAUACAACAUCAGGACCGCCACAGCAGCUGGGCGCACACCCUGUGGUAUACGUGGUUAUGAAAAGAGUGUGCACUGCGGGGCGUUCAAAGGCCCGAAGCGGUGCGAUGAGCACGGAGUGUACCUCCGGAGAUGGGGUGCCGUGCGCCUAGGAUGGGUUUUGGGCUCGGUCUCUGGCGGGGGCACGGAGCGCCGGCCGCUGCCUGCCGCCUCCCGGCCUGCCGGUCCUGGCCUUGAGGUACAGCGCCACCUGGAGGGCCGCGGGGGCGGCGUCAAGUCACGUCUGCGUCGCUCCCCUCAGCGUUCUGCCCGGCCGGAGGGGCCGGCGGCGUGCGGCGCUCUGCCUUCUCCGCCUCCCGCGAGGCCGCUCGGGGCCGUUCGGAAUCGCUCGCGGUCGUUCGGAAUCGCUCGGGCGACGCAGGGCGCGACGGGCGCUGUCCGUGGUGCCGAUCGCUGCAGCUCCGAGGGGCUGCGGCGGCGGAGCUUCGUGACCCGGCGGCUUCCCCUCGGUGCUAAAGAACGAUGUUUGCUCCGGGGCUCGGUGUGGGAAGGUGGCACCUUUCAGUAAUGGAUGGCUUCUGAGGUCUUUGCGUGAUCUUUCGUUGAUUCCUUGCACUGCCUUCCUGCCACGGUUUCCUCUAAAAGUAUUUCCAUUUGUAGAGACAAUCAGCUACAAUUAUACUAAUAUUUCUCAUGCUCCACACUGUGCAAACGCUUUUCCCACUUGGCGGAAAGCACCUUUAAAAAUUAUCCCCUGGAAUAGAUGGUAGAAGGUCACGUCAUCCCAGGCGGCCAGCACCUCGGUGUGUCUGGAAGCUGCCUCUGCUGUUCUCGUUGGUUGUCCUCCGUGUCCACUUCCUAGACAGUAGGUCUGUUCGGCACAACAGUCGCCUUGGCCGCAUAAUGCCUCAGUCUGUCGCUCUCCUUUCCAUAAAGGAGUUGAAGUUUCUGCCCUUCCCUUCGAGCCCCUCAGGAAGAACACGUCCCCGCUGCCCUGCACUCCUCAAGUGGCUGAAUCCUCCAGCCCCACCUGGCUGCUUCCCUCCUCCCCGUCUCAUUGUGGAUCCUUCCCAGCCCCUUACGUGUCAUCUCUGUGAGCAGAGUUUGGGCGUCUGCGUAGUUACCACAGCACAUCGGUACCUAGCACCGCGUCCACUGCCGCGACGUGUCAGCAAAGCAUUGCUUGGGAGGCGGGGUGGGGAAACGUGGGUUUGGGGCUGUCGGAGGUACAAUAACAAAUGUUCCGCGUUUUAGCAAAAGGGUGGUAGGUGUAAAGCGAUAAUCCAGCGGCAGCACUGGGGGAGUCACGGAGAUCCAGGUGUUCCCGGGCGGCCGGGAAGGCACAACGAGCGGUGGUGCCCGUGCCUCUGCCACCCUCUGGCGGAGGGAGAGAGGCGGUGGAGCGGUGCGCGGGGCGGGCCGGAGCCGGGGGCCGGAGGUCAGCCCGGUCGCCUCGCCUUCAUGCCGCUGCGCCCGGAGGCCUUGGGGCGAGCCGGUGCUGUCUAGGGAAAGCGGGAAGCGCCGCUGGCACCGGGACUUGCCCGGCGGCAAGCGCUGCGUGGGGGGCCGGGUGAGUCCCACCCU
ensembl:lncRNA